rnacentral:rRNA from 1 species
GAUGAACGCUAGCUACAGGCUUAACACAUGCAAGUCGAGGGGCAGCAUGGUCUUAGCUUGCUAAGGCCGAUGGCGACCGGCGCACGGGUGAGUAACACGUAUCCAACCUGCCGCCUACUCUUGGACAGCCUUCUGAAAGGAAGAUUAAUCCAGGAUGGCAUCAUGAGCCCACAUGUUCUCAUGAUUAAAGGUAUUCCGGUAGACGAUGGGGAUGCGUUCCAUUAGAUAGUAGGCGGGGUAACGGCCCACCUAGUCGACGAUGGAUAGGGGUUCUGAGAGGAAGGUCCCCCACAUUGGAACUGAGACACGGUCCAAACUCCUACGGGAGGCAGCAGUGAGGAAUAUUGGUCAAUGGGCGAGAGCCUGAACCAGCCAAGUAGCGUGAAGGAUGACUGCCCUAUGGGUUGUAAACUUCUUUUAUAAAGGAAUAAAGUCGGGUAUGCAUACCCGUUUGCAUGUACUUUAUGAAUAAGGAUCGGCUAACUCCGUGCCA